GUUUGUGUGCACUGUUUGAAAAGCAUGCUUAAAGAAACACGCCAAAGAGUCUGCUCUGCAUAAAGGGAAGAAAGUACAGGCAUAUGAAGAGCUGGGAGGUUUGCUCCACUUCACCUGCCGUAAAGGUCCCCAGUCAAAGCAGAAACUGGAGCCAUGGGCCAACAUCCGGAUGAGAAAGCGACGCUAAAUGGAAAGAUGCUCAGCUGUUCGCCCAAUAAUCCUACUUUAGGGAAGACAGGUUCCUAUCUGUCAAGCAUUUGUUCCCACAGCAGUUGGUGCUAAAAACCAGCAGGAUAUUCCACAGCAAUGGCAUCUGAAGGGGAAGAGAAAUCGAAAGUGUGUGUCUUGGACACAAUAUCAGCUCAGCCAUUUCAUAUCUGUUAAUCAUAUUUUUUUGAAAUCUUGUUUAAAACUCAAACGAUCUGGUUUUGCUGAUAAGACCAGUUUGGAUUUACGACUAACCAGAAAAGAUUUACCGAAGCACGCAGCCUUUACCGAGGGCUGUUUUCACAAAAUUGGACUGCGGUCACGCAUUUACAUGCUCAGCAAUGCCUCCUUUAUGAGAAGCGUGCCCUCCCCAUGGCGCGUGGACGAUCCUCAUUGGCACAGACGGCCCCAGAGACUGGACCCUGAUGACUCCUAAGAAUCCCUUGCGCCAUGGGACAAGAGACACCAGUUAAACCUGGGAUGUGAGCAUUACAUAAUAGUGAGAGAAUGCCUUCCAUCGUUAACACAAAUAGAUGGCGGAAGGGCAGCCAAGUCACCCACUGGCUGUCCAAGCAAAGGAGAAAUCCGCUACCCAUGGAAUAACAGGACUUGCUAUAUCUGCUAAACAUGGGCCUCUAUGAGAUGGGGGAAAGGACAUGCAAGUAUCAUGGUUCUGAUCAUUUCUACAUGGCUCGUGCUUAGGAGUGGACAAAGACCUGUGUGGCCAACUUCCUUUAUUCAUGCUGGAGGAACCUGGAAGAUAUUUGGCCAAUCGCAUCCCCUGGUACGAACCUGCCUGGGCCCUGAGAUCCGCUUCAGGAGAGGCCCUUCUCUCAGUCCCACCUCCAUCUCAAGCUCAACUGGUGGGAAUGAGAGGGAAGGCCUUCUAGGUGGCUGUCCCUCGGCACUGGAAGCCAUUAUAGCCCCCUCCCUGCUGUCCUCCAGGCAGAAAGUUAAAGCCUUUUUAUUCAGGCAGGCUUUUAAAGAAGGUUUUUAAGACAAUCAGGGGAUGCUUUUAACCCGGCGGUGCCCAGGUUAUUAGAAGGCACUAUUUCUUUUGGGAUGUUAGGAAAUAUCACUUAAGUUUGGUCCAGAUCCAUCAGUGCUAUCUGGAUAAGGGAUUCCCAAAACAAUCACCCCCAAAGCAGGCCUGUAUGCAGAAUUGGCCAUGUUGGGUUCAGUGCUUUCUGGAUGUAGGUGAACUAUAACUCCCAAAAUCAAGGUCCAUUCCCAGUACGGUCUGUAGUAUGUUCAGUUGGUCAUGGGGCUUCUCUGUGCCAGGUUUGAUCCCAAUUGAUUGUCGAUGAAGGUCACAGUACCAGUGAAGGUACUUCAAGUCCCAUCAUCCGUGGCAAGUGUGAUCCAGAUUCAUUGUUGGUUGGAUGAACAGUACCCUCUGGAUGUAGGUCAAGUAUAAGUCUUGUAAAUUGUGGUAUGAAUUCUCCCCUAACCUCUUGUUCAGUUGCUGAUCAAUUCCUUUGUUCACUGUGUGCCAGGAAAUGAUAUGAAAGGGUUAAGGUAGAGGCGGUGGGCGGGGCCAUGCAAAUGAAAAAACCCUGGGAUAUCCAUUCUGGAGGAAAAACAGAACAUCUAGGAUGAAAUGGGCCCCGCAUGAAAGCCUUCACUUGGGUGGGGGGCAGAUGGGUGUUUGUGAAGGACAUUGGCAGGGUUUGGGCUGCAUGUUCGUGGCACUCACUAUAACCUGCAAAGUCAGGUGAGGGAGUGAUUUGGUGGCUCCACAGCACUGGAAACUAUAGCCUCUUUGUGGAGGCCGGAGGCUGUUUGUGAGCAGACACCCGUGCCACAUACACACAGGUUUUCACUUUUAUUAUGGAUAUAGAUAUAGAUAAAUAUAAUCAGGGGAUGCUUUCCAUACAGCCCAGAAAACUCACAGCAAGCCAAUAAUAAUAAUUUCUAAAAAGACUAGAAAUUUCCUAGAGAGGUGUUCAUCAUUCAUGGUUUUUCACCUUCAAGGGGAUCCUGUGACCCCCAAACCAAGAAAACGGGGAGGGCUGACUGUAGUAGGCAAUGUUAUGGAAGAUUUGCCAUACUGCAGAUGAGCAAGGAAAUACGCUUUCAGGGAGACCCUCAGCAGAUGGGUUCUGUUCUAACUGGUGAGCACAGUAGGAAACUCAAAAGGAUUCCCCAACUAAGACAUCUCCAGGUUUCCAUAACUUUCACGACCAUCUGCAUUGUCAACCAUGGGUUCUACCACUGCAUGACCUACAGCUAUUUUCAUAGAGGUUUAAUACACAACAUGAGACAACUUUGUUGGCUGGAUGGACUAGAUGGCCUUUUAUCCCUUCCCUGACAAUGUUUCUGUGUAGAGAUGAAAAGCCUCUGAUCCAUCCACUCUGACAGCUGCUGGCUCCUCUUUCUCCCAGGAAGCCAUUUGAACAGAUGGCGCCCUGCGCUUCCUACAUGGUGCCACAUCCUUCUACCAUGUACGCAUUCGCACAAAAUUAACUUGUGGUGGUGGUGGGGGGGGGGGGAUUGCAAAGAAUAGUGCUGUGUUACAGCUUAGACAUUUGCAGAAGAAACAGUACAGUUUGCAACAGUCCUAUGAGCAGCACAUGCUCCAAAUUUGUCUCUAUUUUCCAAUGACUUGGCCUCAGAAGUCAAAUAUGUGAGACAAGGGGUCCACAUGCCACCCAGGAAGGAGGGAAAUCAGGAGGGAAAUGGAGAGAAUCCAAGCCAUGAGAAUCACGUCUCGGUUAGAAUACAACCCAAGAAGAGCUCCUUAUUGACAUGGCAGAUUGAGAGGCUGUGCAACCAAUAUGGACAAGUAGCAAUUGAGGGGUUUGAACCCUCCAGUCACCUUAUGCCUUCCUUUCAGAGCCACCUUUGCUAACCUGUGAGUUCUUGCAUGCCCAGGCAGAGAACUGACAGUGUAUUUUGUCAGUAUAUUUUUAUCAUUUCUAGCUAAACCUGUUUGCCUUCGAUGGUCUGUGCCCUAGCAAAAGAACAACUGUACCUUUUAAAACACAAUGCUUGUGCAUUCAAAUUCAUACCCUCACUGCGAGUAGAAAGCUAUAUUUUUUGUAAGACAGGCACCAGGAUCUGUGCAAGAACAAAAAGCAAUUGCAUUUGUGUGCAGUCCACAUACAGCGGCGUUUCAGCUCCUAUUUAAUUCUGCCCAACAUCUUGGAUGUAACAAACCUGCACUUGCAAGCUUGCGAAGAGAUUGAAGAAUGUUAAAUAGAAAGUGUGUGAUGAGGCAGUAUGAAGAAUAACUACGAAGUUUAGAAGCAAUUUGAGAAAUUAGGCUCAUUUGCCUCUAUCUUUCUCUCACCUGCUGAUCUCACAUGAUGCUUACACAUGAACUUACAAGAAGUGUGGACAUCACUGAUCACACUCCAAAAAAAUUAAGAUAGUAAACCAUUCCUCCUAUCUCAUUUUUAUGCUCUAAACUUCCCAGGCAAAGGUUUUAGGGGGAAAGGGCAUCCCUGUAUGAAACAUAGUGCUGCAUCCAUAUUUUUUUUCAAAUUGAUAAAGGUCCACUGCAAGAAAUCAUAUAUUUGAAUGGAUCUCUUGAUUCGGUGAAUUGAAAGAGGCCUCCUGGUUCGUAGCAUUGGAAGGAGACUCCUGGUCCAUAGGGUUGGAAGGGACCUCCUGGUACGUAAGGUUGGAAGGGGCCUCCUGGUUCGUAGGGUUGGAAGGGACUAAUGGUUCAUAGAGUUGGAAGGAGCCUCCUGGUCCAUAGAAUUAGAAGGAGCUUCCUGGCCCCUGGGUUGGAAGGGUCCUCCUUGUCAUGAGGGUUGGAAGGGGUCUCUUGGUCUAUAAGAUUAGAAAGGACUUCCUGGUUGGUAGAGUUGAAAGGGGCCUUCUGGUUUGUAGGGUUGGAAGGGGCCUCUUGGUCCCUGGGCUAGAAGUGACCUCCUGAUCCAUAGGGUUGGAAGGGGCCUCAUGGUUCAUAGAGCUGGAUAUGGUCUCCUGAUCCACAGGGUUGAAAGGGGCCUCUUGGUCCAUAGGAUAGAGAGAGAACUCUUGGUUCAUAGGGAUGGAAGGGACCUCCUGGUUGGUAGAGUUGGAAGGGGCCUCAUAUAUUACUGAGUCCAGAAACAAAUUCCAUGAAGAAUCUCCAGCUAAAGCAUCUCCAGCAAGCAGCUUCCCAAUCUCUUUUCUGAAGAUGUCCAGAAACAAGACCCCAUCACUUCUCUAUGCAAUUGGGUCCACUGUUGAACUGCCCUCACUGUCGAGAUGUCCCUUCUAAUUUUCAAUCGAAAUCUCUCCCCCUGUAACAUGGAACCAUUAGACCUGGUUCUACCUUCUGGGCAGUAGACAACAGACCUGUCUUUUCCUCUCUGUGACAGCCCUUGAGAUAUAAACAUCUAUAUAUCUGAAUGCCCCAUUACAGCCUCCUUCCUUUCUCCGUCAAGAAGAGUGGGAAGCAUGGACUUUGCCUGAGAAAUCAUGAAAUUACAUCUUACCAUGACUAUUAAACAAAUACAGCAUCUGUUAAUAAGACAGUCAUUAAGUAACAAAAUUGCCUAAUGCAGGGAGCCAGAUGUACCAGGACAAGAUUAUAUUAACUGCUUUUCUGGAAUAUAAGGAGGAGGAGCACAUGUUAAUAUUAGCUUCAACUGAUGCUUUCCAGACCUCCUAUGAGAAAAAAGAUCAGUAAUCAUCAAUUCAGCCGUUCCCCAAGACACACUUGUCUUCUUCGCUAAAUAUCAAUAUAAUGUACAAUUCAGUUCUACUCAGCUCCGCUGCUAAAUGAGAAGGAAAAUAGGGCAUAUAUUACAGGGUCACUGUGGGGUUCUGCUUGUGCCCACCGCGACAGAUAAAAGAAUGCCCUCAUGUAAAAUUUGAGACAUUUCCUAUGCCCCCAUCCAAGUUGCAGAAACAUAUGUAUGUCCUGGGCAUUUGGAAAGCUUAUUCUUAUUGAGGAUUAAACAGUGCAUGCUUUCCCAGGCUAAUAAAAGGCAUCAAGAUGGAUAGAGCUCACCCAUGGGACCUCAAAAUCCAGGAUUUGUGCUUGACACACCAAUAGGAACUUGAAAUCCAAGCUAAAGUUUUAUUAGAUUUAUUUGUAGAAGGCAUUUUGCAAGGUAAAAAUAUCAAGUUCUUCUGAAAAUGUAAUAAUCUACAGUCACUCAUACAAAUCUUCGCUCAAAAUAAACUAUAGGUCAAUUAUUAAAUAUAGACACAGUGUCACUGGAUUAAGACCCCACCUUCCAGCCAAAGGUAUGGUGCUCAUCAUCAAAUCAAAAUAAAGCCAGUAAAGUUCAGAAUCAGCAGAAGACCUAGAACCGAGCUUUCCAAACUGUGUGUUGCACUCCAGGGCUGGAAACCCCUAUAAUCACAGCAUCAUACAAGAGUCCAGAAUAUAAGCAAACAGUUUACUGUAAAAUAUAUCAAAAGUAUUCAAAAAUUCAGGAAUAAAGAAAAGAGAAAUAUAUCCAAAAAGGGUUUAGCAAUAAGCAAUAAUCCAACAGGAGUCCAAAUGUCUCAAACAGGUUCAAAGGCAAUACAAUCCAGGAAUAUUAAAAAAAAAUCACAAGAACGGCUUAAGUCCACAAGCAAUAGAUAUCCUUAGAAAAACUUGAUCAUAAUAUAACCACAGGAACAUAGAAAGUUCCAAAAUACUUGAAUCCCAAAACCAAACGCUUAACUUGGAACAUGGACCAGGCACUCAGAUGUAGCUUCUUACUCCACACGCUACAUUGCAUGAACUAACUUGAAAGUAAACAACUUGCCAAUUAAAAGCUGCCCAUGAAAGCAUUUAGUCUUCCCUGAAAUCUCUCCUCAGCUUUCCCAUGCAAAUGCUCUGCCUGCGAUGUCUAUUGUCUGCUCUGAUCUGUAAAUGAAGGCCUGUGAUGAUUUCCAUAUCUCCAGGUGCUUCGGUAUCAAUUCCCCGAUUCUUCCUUAUUUAAUGUCUCUGGCUGCUUGACCUGACCUUGAAGGCCUGCACUUUCACAGUCAACUUUCUCACAGACAGAAACACCAUUCCUUUGACUGAAAUAUUCAUCCCUUUAUGCCCCCGGUAAUCUCUCAGACAAGCCCAUCACUCUCAGGCUGAUCUACAAUAUUGUGUAUCAGGACCCCGGAAUGUGUCACCUAAGACACACACACACACACACUUCUGCCCCCACAAACAAAGGCAGUGCUGAGGAGAGUGAGGAGGAAGAAGAGACCCCCAAAGAGCAUUCGAUCCAGUCCCCUUCUGCCAGGCAGGAAGACAGUCAAAGCCCUCCCAACAGACAGCCAUCCAGCCUCGGUUCAGAAACGUCCAGAGAAGACGGCUCCACUGAAAGGGACUCCCCAGAAUGCAUUUAAUGCAACCUCCUUCCACCACAAAGGAAGGCACAAUCACAGAUGGCCAUCCAGUCUAUGUUUAAAAAUCUCCAGAGGGGGUUAAUCCCUACAGAAGUAUUUUAGCAUUUUUCAGGUGUAGAUAUUACUAUAAGGUAAAGGUUUCCCCUGACGUUAAGUCCAGUCGUGUCUGACUCUGGGGGUUGGUGCUCAUCUCCAUUUCGAAGCCGAAGAGCCAGCAUUGUCCAUAGACACCUCCAAGGUCAUGUGGCCAGCAUGACUGCAUAGAACGCCGUUACCUUCCCGCCGGAGCGGUACCUAUGGAUCUACUCACAUUUGCAUGUUUUCGAACUGCUAGGUUGGCAGAAGCUGGAGCUAACAGCGGGUGCUCACUCCACUACCCGGAUUUGAACCUAGGACCUUUCGGUCUGCAAGUUCAGCAGUUCAGCGCUUUAACACACUGAGCCACCAGAGGCUCCAAAUUUGCACAAAUUGUUGAGUAACCUGCAGGAAUUACCACCAAAAUGGAUGUUUCUAAUUAAGAAAAGAAAAUCUGUUGACAACUAUGUUUGUGAUGAAACCCAUGAAGGGGCUACAGAGGAAACUACACAAGAAUCAACUGCAGAACAUCAGAAAGAUAAAGGGAAAAAAAUCCAAACCCUGUUUAAACAGUAAAGAUUAUAUGAAACUUAUAAUAUAUAUUGUAUGAAAAUCUUAUGGGAGGAUAGUUUGACCUCCGGCUUGCUAGUAAAACUGAAUGACCGUGUCGCAAAAGGAGGCCUAUCUCAAAAGCGUGACAAGUUUGGAAAACUCUGAUCUAGAACAACAGUUCCCAAACUCGGGCCACUCAAGCUGGUUUUGAACUUCCGCUCCCAAACUGGCUUGGCCUCCUGGAAAUUGAAGUCCAAAACAUCUAGAGGUUGAGAAUGAUCUGAUGCUACAGCCAAACUACGGAGCAAAACUACAUUGUUGAGCCCAAUGGAACCUCGUCAUCAAGUUUUGCCUCCGACAUAAUUCUCUGCUGUCCAAUUUACUUUCGAUGUGGUUUAAUUCACAAAAAGGAACACGGAUCUCACAAAACAUGGUGCCAAGGCUCUGCCAAAACCCAGUGUAGCGGUGGCGCAGUGGAUUAAAUUGCUAACUGCAGGAAAUCUGCUGACCGGAGGGUUAGCAGUUCAAAACCGCGAGUCGAGGAGUGCUCCAACUGUCAGCCCUAGCUUCUGCCAACCUAGCAGUUCGAAAGCAUGCAAUGCGAGUAGAUCAAUAGGUACAGCCUCAAUGGGAAGUUAAAAGGGUGCCCCAUGCAGACAUGCAAACAUGCCGGCAAAACACGAUUGGAGAUUUUUAUGGACAACAGACUCCUCAACAGGGAAAAAUAUAACAAGAGCAUCUUCCCAUGGCCGGAAUUGAGCAUUGCCUCCAAACAAAGGAGAUGGAAAGGAGAAAACCUUUACCUUGUCUGUGUAUUGUAUGUCAUUGUGUAAAAGGCAUUGAAUGUUUGCAUUAUAUGUGUACUGUAAUUCGCCCUGAGUCCCUCCGGGGAGAUAAAGCGGAAUAUAAAUAAAGUGUAUUAUUAUUAUUAUUA